AUUGAACGCUGGCGGCAUGCCUUACACAUGCAAGUCGAACGGCAGCACGGGGCAACCUGGUGGCGAGUGGCGAACGGGUGAGUAAUGCAUCGGAACGUACCUUUCAGUGGGGGGUAACGUAGCGAAAGUUACGCUAAUACCGCAUAUUCUGUGAGCAGGAAAGCAGGGGAUCGCAAGACCUUGCGCUGAUUGAGCGGCCGAUGUCAGAUUAGCUAGUUGGUGAGGUAAAGGCUCACCAAGGCGACGAUCUGUAGCGGGUCUGAGAGGAUGAUCGGCCACACUGGAACUGAGACACGGUCCAGACUCCUACGGGAGGCAGCAGUGGGGAAUUUUGGACAAUGGGGGCAACCCUGAUCCAGCCAUGCCGCGUGAGUGAAGAAGGCCUUCGGGUUGUAAAGCUCUUUCGGCCGGGAAGAAAUCGCACGGGCUAAUACCCUGUGUGGAUGACGGUACCGGAAUAAGAAGCACCGGCUAACUACAUGCCAGCCGCCGCCGUAAAAC
rnacentral:rRNA from 1 species